GUUCUUGUAGUUGAGCAAUACAACGAUGGUUUUUCAGACCAUAGGCCUUGGGUUGAUCCAAGUAAGAACU
rnacentral:tRNA from 1 species